rnacentral:rRNA from 1 species
UACGUAUGGUGCAAGCGUUAUCCGGAUUUACUGGGUGUAAAGAGGGAGCAGGCGGUCGUGAAGGUCCACUGGUAAAAGACCGGGGCUAAACCCCGGUAGGCCGAGGAAACCGUACGACUAGAGUACAGCAGAGGAUCGUGGAAUUCCAUGUGUAGCGGUGAAAUGCGUAGAUAUAUGGAGGAACACCAGUGGCGAAGGCGACGAUCUGGGCUGAAACAGACGCUGAGUCCCGAAAGCGUGGGGAGCAAAUAGG